CUUUAGUUUAAUUGGAUCCCAUCUGUCAAUUUUGGCUUUUGUUGCCAUUGCUUUUGGUGUUUUAGUCAUGAAGUCCUUACCUAUGCCUAUGUCCUGAAUGGUAUUGCCUAGGUUUUCUUCUAGGGUUUUUAUGGUUUUAGGUCGAAAAUUUAAGAUUUUAAUCCAUCUUGAAUUAAUUUUUGUAUAAGGCAUAAGGAAGGGACCCAGUUUCAGCUUUCUACAUAUGGCUAGCCAGUUUUCCCAGCACCAUUUAUUAAAUAGGGCAUCCUUUCCCCAUUUCUUGUUUUUGUCAGGUUUGACAAGGAUCAGAUGGUUGUAGAUGUGUGAUGUUAUUUCUGAGGCCUCUGUUCUGUUCCUUUGGUCUAUCUUCUGUUUUGGUACCAGUACCAUGCUGUUAUGGUUACUGUAGCCUUGUAGUAUAGUUUGAAAUCAGGUAGCAUUUAAGACACAGUUUUGUUCUUGUUGCCCAGGCUGGAGUGCAGUGGCACAAUCUUGGCUAACAGCAACCUCCGCCUCCUGGGUUCAAGUGAUUCUCAUGCUUCAGCCUCCCAAGUAGCUGAGAUUAUACAGGCACCCGCCACCACGCCCAGGUCUGUGAGUUUUUGCCUCAACAGAAUUUAGAAGUUCUAUUGUCAGAACUGUGCAUUCAACAAAGGACUAAUAUACAGAACCUACAAGGAACUCAAACAACUUAACAAAUAAAAGCAACUAACCACUUUAAAAAGUGGGAAAAGAACAUGAACAGUCAUUUCUCAAAAGAAAACAUACUAGCAGCCAGCAAACAUGUAAACAACUACCCAUCACUUAUUAUUAGAGAAAUGCAAAUUAAAACUACAAUGAGAUACCAUCUCACACUAGUCAGAAUAAUUACUACUAAAAAGUCAAAAAACAACAGAUGUUGGUAAGGAUGCAGAGAAAACGCUUAUACACUGUUGAUGAGAAUGUAAAUUAGCACAACAUUUAUGGAAAACAGUAUGGAGACUUCUCACAAAACUAAAAAUAAAACUACCAUUUGACCCAGCAACCCCACUACCAGGUACCUAGCCAAAGAAAAAGAAAUCGUUAAAUCAAAAAGACAUCUGCACUCGUAUAUUCAUAGCAGCACUAUUCACAAUACAAAGGUCAUGGAAUUAACCUAAGUGUCCAUCAGUGGAUGACUGGAUAAAGUGUAUGUGGUAUGUAUACAGCAUGGAAUACUAUGCAGCCAUGAAAAAGAAUUAAAUUAGUUUUUUGCAGCAACAUGGAUGGAGCUGAAGGUCAUUUUCCUAUGUGAAACAACUCAGAAACAGAAAAUCUAAUACUGCAUGUUCUCACUUAAAAGUGGGGACUAAAUAGUGGGUACAUAUGGAUGUAUAAAGGGAAAUAAUAGACACUGGUGACUCCUAAAGCAGGGAGGAUGAGAGGAGGUAAGGGCUGAAAAAUUACCUAUUGAGUACAAUGUUCACUAAUUGAGUGAUGGGUACAAUGGAAGCCUAAACCCCACCACUGCGAUAUAUCCAUGUAACAAACCUGCACAUACCACCUGAAUCUACAAAGAUUCUAAAAAAUUUAAAAAUAAGUUAUGUUAUUAAAUGAACUCACAUUUAAUACUGCUAUAGCUUGUUCAACUGACAUUUCUAUCAUUAUGUAAUGCCUCUCUUUAUUGCUGGUAAUUUCUUUGCCCUGAUAUUACUUUAUCUGAUAUUAAAUUACUCAGCUAUCUUUUGAUAAAUGUUUGAAUAGUAUAUCUUUUCUCUUUUCUUUUACUUUUACUCAACCUAUAUUAUCACAUUUAAUUGUCAACCCAGAGUCUUAUAGAGUAAUAUUCAAAAUGUUCUGUAUACAAUCCAAAAUUAUUCACCAUGUGAAAAACCAGAAAUAUCUCAACUCAAAAAGAGAAAUACAUUACCUGAAGUGAUAAACAACCCAAUUUUCCUGAUUUUAUCAUCAUACAUCGUAUACUUGUGUCACAUGUACCCAAUUAAUACUUAUAAAUGUUAUGUACCCAUAAAAAUUAAAAAGAAAAAAGAAAAAGACAAUCAACAGAUGCUGACUCUGUGAUGUCGUCAUUAAAUUUGGGCUUCUGCCA
rnacentral:lncRNA from 10 species